rnacentral:rRNA from 1 species
GAUGAACGCUGGCGGCGUGCUUAACACAUGCAAGUCGAACGGAAAGGCCCAAGCUUGCUUGGGUACUCGAGUGGCGAACGGGUGAGUAACACGUGGGUGAUCUGCCCUGCACUUCGGGAUAAGCCUGGGAAACUGGGUCUAAUACCGGAUAGGACCACAUUUUGGAUGGUGUGGUGGAAAGUUUUUCGGUGUGGGAUGAGCUCGCGGCCUAUCAGCUUGUUGGUGGGGUAAUGGGCUACCAAGGCGUCGACGGGUAGCCGGCCUGAGAGGGUGUACGGCCACAUUGGGACUGAGAGACGGCCCAGGCUCCUACGGGAGGCAGCAGUGGGGAAUAUUGCACAAUGGGCGCAAGCCUGAUGCAGCGACGCCGCGUGGGGGAUGACGGCCUUCGGGUUGUAAACUCCUUUCGCUAGGGACGAAGCGUUAUGUGACGGUACCUGGAGAAGAAGCACCGGCUAACUACGUG